GACGAACGCUGGCGGCGUGCUUAACACAUGCAAGUCGAACGAUGAUGCCCAGCUUGCUGGGUUGAUUAGUGGCGAACGGGUGAGUAACACGUGAGUAACCUGCCCAUCACUCCGGGAUAACUCCGGGAAACCGGUGCUAAUACCGGGUAUGACUCCGAUCCGCAUGGGUACGGGGUGGAAAGAUUUAUCGGUGGUGGAUGGACUCGCGGCCUAUCAGCUUGUUGGUGGGGUAAUGGCCUACCAAGGCGACGACGGGUAGCCGGCCUGAGAGGGUGCCCGGCCACACGGGGACUGAGACACGGCCCAGACUCCUACGGGAGGCAGCAGUGGGGAAUAUUGCACAAUGGGCGGAAGCCUGAUGCAGCGACGCCGCGUGCGGGAUGACGGCCUUCGGGUUGUAAACCGCUUUCAGCUCUGACGAAGCUUUUGUGACGGUAGGAGCAGAAGAAGCACCGGCUAACUACGUGCCAGCAGCCGCAGUAAGAC
rnacentral:rRNA from 1 species